AGAGUUUGAUCAUGGCUCAGGACGAACGCUGGCGGCGUGCUUCAUACAUGCAAGUCGAACGAGAAUCUCUGGCUUGCCAGAGAGGAAAGUGGCGGACGGGUGAGUAAAAUGUAGAGAAUCUGCCCUUAAGAUGGGGGACAACAGUUGGAAACGACUGCUAAUACCCAAUAUGCGCGUAGCUGAAAUGCUAUUCGUGAAAACUCCGGUGCUUAAGGAUGAGUCUGCAUCUGAUUAGCUAGUUGGGGGUGUAAUGGACCACCAAGGCGACGAUCAGUAGCUGGUUUGAGAGGAUGAUCAGCCACAAUGGGACUGAGACACGGCCCAUACUCCUACGGGAGGCAGCAGUAGGGAAUUUUGCGCAAGUGGGGAAACCCUGACGCAAGCAACGCCGCGUGAUUGAAGAAGCCCUUCGGGGUGUAAAGAUCUGUCAGUGGGGACGAAACUUGACGGUACCCACAGAGGAAGCAUCGGCUAACUCCGUGCCAGCCGCAGC
rnacentral:rRNA from 1 species